AGUGAACGAUCAGAUAGACACAAAAAGCUAUACGUAGGUAUGUGUAAAUAGAUAGGCCGCGGGGUUGAGUUACCGUGGCCCUGGUACUUAAGCGGCUCCAGAAGAAAGAUCUGUUACUUCGUCCGUCUCCUUAACGAAUAUGGGAAUAUGGACUUUCAAGUAUGGAAAGAAACUAUUAGAUCGCAAAGUUUAUACGUUCCUUUGGAAGCGCCAUAGAGCAGGCCAGAGUGUUUGACUCCUACCCUUUACUUCUUAUGGUUUUCAAGAGAACACAAGUUUGUUCAACAAAUGCCGGUGAAAUGUCGUGUUCCGGGAGUAAAACCGACAGCUAUUUUCCAAGCUCCAAGACAAACAGCCAUAAAACAAACAGGAAUAUAAUAUACAACGACAAUUCUGACACGGAAUGGUAGAAUUUCUAAAGUAAAUAAAAGAUAAACUUGACGUCGGCGAGAUAAAAAUAC